UACGAAGGGGGCUAGCGUUGCUCGGAAUCACUGGGCGUAAAGCGCACGUAGGCGGCUUUUUAAGUCAGGGGUGAAAUCCUGGAGCUCAACUCCAGAACUGCCUUUGAUACUGGGAAGCUUGAGUCCGGGAGAGGUGAGUGGAACUCCGAGUGUAGAGGUGAAAUUCGUAGAUAUUCGGAAGAACACCAGUGGCGAAGGCGGCUCACUGGCCCGGUACUGACGCUGAGGUGCGAAAGCCAGGGGAGCGAACGGG
rnacentral:rRNA from 1 species